GGGGAUGAUCCGGUUUCGACGGGAGUGUCGGGGUCAGGAUAAGCGAGCUGCGGCCCCUGUACCGCAUAACAACGGGGAAAAAAACGAACUGACAACAGCGAUUUCGCUUUCGCCGCCUGAUUAGGCGCGACGUUGGCCCGGUCUGCCCGCGUGGCCGGUUCCCGACGUCAUUUACGCGGGGAACGAGCAUGCCUAAGCUUUGCCGCAUGUCCGUAACAUGAAGCUACUGAAGCGUCCAGCCUGUCUGCGGGCGGGCCGCGGAGGGAAUGUCAAAACACAGAAUGCGCUCGGAGAAAGUCCUGGAUCAGAGCUUUCGGACAGGGGUUCGACUCCCCUCAUCUCCACCA
rnacentral:tmRNA from 1 species